GAAUUAGAGACCGGCGCACGGGUGCGUAACGCGUAUGCAAUCUACCUUUUACAGAGGGAUAGCCCAGAGAAAUUUGGAUUAAUACCUCAUAGUAUUACGAAAUGGCAUCAUUUUGUAAUUAAAGUCACAACGGUAAAAGAUGAGCAUGCGUCCCAUUAGCUAGUUGGUAAGGUAACGGCUUACCAAGGCUACGAUGGGUAGGGGUCCUGAGAGGGAGAUCCCCCACACUGGUACUGAGACACGGACCAGACUCCUACGGGAGGCAGCAGUGAGGAAUAUUGGACAAUGGGCGCAAGCCUGAUCCAGCCAUGCCGCGUGCAGGAUGACGGUCCUAUGGAUUGUAAACUGCUUUUAUACGAGAAGAAACACUCCGACGUGUCGGAGCUUGACGGUAUCGUAAGAAUAAGGAUCGGCUAACUCCGUGCCAGCAGCCGCGGUAAUACGGAGGAUCCAAGCGUUAUCCGGAAUCAUUGGGUUUAAAGGGUCCGUAGGCGGUUUAAUAAGUCAGUGGUGAAAGCCCAUCGCUCAACGGUGGAACGGCCAUUGAUACUGUUAAACUUGAAUUAUUAGGAAGUAACUAGAAUAUGUAGUGUAGCGGUGAAAUGCUUAGAGAUUACAUGGAAUACCAAUUGCGAAGGCAGGUUACUACUAAUGGAUUGACGCUGAUGGACGAAAGCGUGGGUAGCGAACAGGAUUAGAUACCCUGGUAGUCCACGCCGUAAACGAUGGAUACUAGCUGUUGGAAGCAAUUUCAGUGGCUAAGCGAAAGUGAUAAGUAUCCCACCUGGGGAGUACGUUCGCAAGAAUGAAACUCAAAGGAAUUGACGGGGGCCCGCACAAGCGGUGGAGCAUGUGGUUUAAUUCGAUGAUACGCGAGGAACCUUACCAAGGCUUAAAUGUAGAUUGACCGUUUUGGAAACAGAACUUUCGCAAGA
rnacentral:rRNA from 1 species